GAUGAACGCUGGCGGCGUGCCUAAUACAUGCAAGUCGAACGAAUCUUCUUCGGAAGAUGAGUGGCGAACGGGUGAGUAAUACAUAGGUAACCUGCCCCUGUGCGGGGGAUAACAGGAGGAAACUCCUGCUAAUACCGCAUAGCCAUGAGCACCGCAUGGAGCUCAUGCCAAAUAUCCUUUCGGGGAUAGCGCAGGGAUGGACCUAUGGCGCAUUAGCUGGUUGGCGGGGCAACGGCCCACCAAGGCAACGAUGCGUAGCCGGCCUGAGAGGGCGGACGGCCACAUUGGGACUGAGACACGGCCCAGACUCCUACGGGAGGCAGCAGUAGGGAAUUUUCGGCAAUGGGGGAAACCCUGACCGAGCAACGCCGCGUGAGCGAAGAAGGCCUUCGGGUCGUAAAGCUCUGUUGUAAAGGAAGAACGGCGCAUACAGGAAAUGGUAUGCGAGUGACGGUACUUUACCAGAAAGCCACGGCUAACUACGUGCCAGCAGCCGCGGUAA
rnacentral:rRNA from 1 species